AAAUGAAUAGACGGGGGCCCGCACAAGCAGUGGAGUAUGUGGUUUAAUUCGAAGCAACGCGAAGAACCUUACCAGGUCUUGACAUCGGAUGCAUAGCUUAGAGAUAAGUGAAGUCCUUCGGGACAUCCAGACAGGUGGUGCAUGGUUGUCGUCAGCUCGUGUCGUGAGAUGUUGGGUUAAGUCCCGCAACGAGCGCAACCCUUAUGUUUAGUUGCUACGCAAGAGCACUCUAAAGAGACUGCCGUUGACAAAACGGAGGAAGGUGGGGAUGACGUCAAAUCAUCAUGCCCCUUAUGACCUGGGCCACACACGUACUACAAUGGCGAUCAACAGAGGGAAGCAAAGCCGCGAGGCAGAGCAAACCCCUAAAAGUCGUCUCAGUUCGGAUUGCAGGCUGCAACCCGCCUGCAUGAAGCCGGAAUUGCUAGUAAUCGCGGAUCAGCAUGCCGCGGUGAAUACGUUCCCGGGCCUUGUACACACCGCCCGU
rnacentral:rRNA from 1 species